AUGACCGCGCAGACCAAGAAGAGGAGCCCUGUGGAGAGUGGGGACGCUGCUAUCGGCACGGCUCUCGUUGGCUUCGUCUCCAAUAAUGAGGAUUUGGGCCCCAUUGUGCGGCAUGCUUUCGAGUCCGGAAGGCCUGAGGCUCUCUUCCACAACCUCAGGGGUAUCGCCAAGAGGAAGGAGGUUGAGAUCGAGGAGCUCUGUAGGCUUCACUAUGAGGAAUUCAUCCUCGCGGUCGAUGAGCUGCGUGGGGUGUUGGUCGAUGCUGAUGAACUCAAGGGCGCGCUGUCGGGUGAGAAUCUGCGCUUGCAGGAGGUUGCUAGUGCCCUGCUUCUGAAGCUCGAUGAGCUUCUUGAGUUGUAUGCGGUGAAUAAGAAUGUUGGGGAAGCGCUUGCAACAUUGAAGAUCUGUCUGCAGGUCACCAGCCUGUGUCAGGCAUGCAACAGGGACAUUGCCCAAGGCAAGUUUCACACUGUGCUGAAGACUUUGGAGCUGAUUGAGAAGGACCACCUGCAGAAUAUUCCUCUGAAGCUUCUUAAAAAUGUUGUUCAGAAAAAGAUACCGAUGAUGAAGCUGUACAUCGAGAAGGAAGUUUCCGGUGAGUUUAAUGAGUGGCUUGUGUAUAUCAGAAAGUUUGCAAUGGAGAUUGGACAGGCCUCGAUACGCCAGGCCUCUUUGGAUCGUCAGAAAGAUGAGCGAAUGCGUGCCUGGCAGAGGGAAGCAGAAGAAUGUAGUCGUGGGGGGUUUGAUGAGCAUGCUUAUGCCUUGGAUCUGGAGUACAUAGAUGAAGAGUCAACACUAGAAUUUGAUCUUACUCCAGUAUACCGAGCAUACAACAUCCACAUAUCCCUUGGCCUUGGGGACAAGUUUCGAGAAUAUUACUACAGUAACAGGCUCAUGCAGCUUAACUUGGACAUGCAAAUUUCUACAACACAACCCUUCCUCGAGUCCCACCAGCACUUCCUUGCUCAGGUAGCUGGAUUUUUUAUUGUUGAAAACCGUGUUCUUCGAACUGCAGAGGGACUUCUAUCUGAGAGCCAGGUUGACACAAUGUGGGAAACAUCUAUUUCUAAGGUCACCUCUUUCCUAGAGGAACAGUUUGCACGCAUGGAUGCAGCUAACCACCACCUCCUUGUAAAAGAUUAUGUCUCUCUUCUAGCUGCAACCAUGAAGAAGUAUGGGUAUCAAGUCACAUCUUUGCUUGAAGUUCUUGACAAAAACAGGGACAGAUAUCAUGAGCUGCUUGUUUCAGAUUGUCGGAAGCAGAUACAAGGCGUCUUUGCUAAGGACUCGUAUGAAAGGAUGGUUAUAGAUAAGGAAAAUGAAUACAACAUGAAUGUCGCAGCAUGUCAACUUGAACCCAUUCACGCAGUGCCGGAUUUGCCAUAUGUUGCGCCAUUUUCCUCAUCAGUUCCCAGUGCUUGCCGUAUUAUCCGUUCCUUCAUUGAGGAUUUGGUAAGCUACUUGUCAUAUGGUGUAGUGGUCAACUCCUAUGAUGUGGUGAAAGGAUACCUAGACAAGCUUUUAAUUGAGGUACUAAAUGACGGUCUUCUGAAGUUGAUACAUAAUGGUAGUUUGGAGAUAGCGCAGCUGGUACAGAUUGCAGGAAAUAUUGCCAUCCUUGAGCGGUCAUGUGACAUGUUCCUUUUGCAUGCUGCCCAGCUUUGUGGACUUCCUAAACGGCUGCUUGGGAAGCCUCAUUCUGGUUUGACUGCUAGAGCUGUGCUCAAGGCCUCCCAAAACGCAGCGUUCAAUGGAUUAAUAACCUCGGCCAAUUCCAGAAUUGAUGAAUUCAUGCUGCUGCUGACCAGCAUCGAUUGGACAACAGAGGAAACUCCAGAACAUGCAAAUGACUACAUGAAUGAAGUCCUCAUCUACCUUGACAUGGUGGUAUCGACUGCACAGCAGAUUCUGCCGAGAGAGGCCCUCUUCAAGGUCAUUUCUGGUUCACUCAGCCACAUCUCAGACUCCAUAAUAACAGUUCUUCUCAGCGACAGGGUGAAAAGGCUGAGCAUCAAUGCGGUUGUAGGUAUCGACAUUGACCUGAAACAGUUAGAGGAGUUUGCAGAAGACAGAUUUCACACCACUGGGUUGUCGGCCCUUAAAAAGGAAACAAAUUUUAAAGAUUGCCUUGUCGAGAUUAGGCAGCUGACUAAUCUUCUGCUGAGCAACCACGCUGAGAGCUUCAUGAACGCUGUGAUCAGGGAGAAGAGUUAUGCGUCCUUGGACCACAAGAAGGUAGCCAUCAUCUGCGACAAGUUUCGGGAUGCUCCUGACAGCUUGUUUGGGAGCCUUUCAAGUAGAAACAUGGUGCAGAGUGCUCGGAAGAAGUCCUUGGAUGUGUUGAAGAGAAGGUUGAAGGAUUUUAGCUGA
rnacentral:rRNA from 1 species